rnacentral:ncRNA from 2 species
AUGAUAUUUGCUGGAGAAAGCAUAUGCUUACCGAUGGGGUAAUUCUCUCAGGUCAAAAGGACAGCAAAUGGAUG